UGCCUAUGUAGCAAAAUUGGCAUUGAUACUGCCCUUUUUAUUUGCACUGAUUUAAACUUAUGUUUCCAAAUGGUAGUGUCAAAGAAGCAUCUUAUAAUGGGGGNNNNNNAGGAAACAUCACGUUUAAAGGAUUUCUUGAAGACAGUGCUGUCUUCACUACAAGGCUCUUUUUGGCAGAGCUACCUCUGGGCAAUCAACCUCUCCACCUUACAUAUUCUGUGAAAUCAGAUGGGGAC
rnacentral:misc_RNA from 1 species